GCCCAGGUAGCUCAGUCGGUAGAGCAGAGGACUGAAAAUCCUCGUGUCAGCGGUUCGAUUCCGUUUCUGGGCACCA
rnacentral:tRNA from 4 species